CCUACGGGUGGCAGCAGUGAGGAAUAUUGGUCAAUGGCCGGAAGGCUGAACCAGCCAUGCCGCGUGAAGGGCAGAGGCCUAGGGGCGGUAAACUUCUUUUGUGCGGGAGCAAUAAUGGUCACGUGUGGCCAGACGAGAGUACCGUACGAAUAAGCAUCGGCUAACUCCGUGCCAGCAGCCGCGGUAAUACGGGGGAUGCAAGCGUUAUCCGGAUUUAUUGGGUUUAAAGGGUGCGUAGGCUGUGAGGGAAGUCAGCGGGGAAAUGCCCCCGCUCAACGGGGUGAAGUGCCAUUGAUACUGCCUUGCUGGAAUGCGGAUGCCGUGAGAGGAAUGUGUGGUGUAGCGGUGAAAUGCAUAGAUAUCACGCAGAACACCGAUUGCGAAGGCAUCUCACGAAUCCGCGAUUGACGCUGAUGCACGAAAGCGUGGGUAUCAAACAGGAUUAGAUACCCCAGUAGUC
rnacentral:rRNA from 1 species